GAAGGGACACAGCUAUACCAGGAACGGCUGUAGCACUUCAUGAUAACCCCCCUGCUCACUGGCACUGAAUGUGAAAAGCUAGAUUUCCACUGAGAACUGAGCGUAUGUUAGCUCCGGUCUAAAUGGAAACCCUGCCUAUUUAUUAGGCCAAGUCUCGCAAAUAUUCAUUAUUUCGUUUUCAUGUUCAAGCGCGCGCAACGUGGAAACGGCUAUAAUGAACACCGAUAUCAAAUAUUGGUCCCAAUAUUGGCGUUGACAUUGUCAACAUCAAAGCUUGCACGAGCACUGGUAUUUGCACCAAUGUUUGAAAUCGGUUUUUGUUGGCCUAAAAUGUAUUUGUAUUAAUUUAGGUUUGAUAUAGAAACUGCAAUUUUCAAAGUGUUAUUCAGAUUUGUUGAACUCUGAAUGUUACUUUACUGAUUAUUGCUAAAUAUUUCGUUUUGUUAUAUGUAAUAAGAUUCUAAGGCCUUAGUAAUUUUAAGUGCUGUUAUAGCGCCAAUUAGUUAUGAAACUAAUUCAUGAUAAAUUGAAUUUCUUUGCCCAUGGGCACGACAAUGGUAUGUUGCUGGACAUCGAGUACCGCACUAAGGGUUUUUGAUGAUAAUCGUACAUUAUCUAUUGAGUUGCGUUCUCUUUUAUAGUUAUUUCAUUUCUCAAAUAAUUAUCAUAAAUAUUUCAAAAUACUAAAUUCAAAGCGAUGGUAAUGAAAAAACUAUUUGCUUGGGCAUGGUGCCUUUUCUAUGCUAUCGUAGAAUAGUGCAUAGUGUCGAAGUAAAAGCGAUCUCUGACCUUUCAUUACACUAGCAUGUAUACUGCAUUUGUCCUUUUCUCACUUAAGAUUUAUUUAAUAGUAGAAAGGGACAUUUGUUUCAAUCAGUGUAAUAAAUAGUCCGUUCAAAUAUCAGUAUGCGGGUCAUACUCUUUUUGAAUACCUUAGCAUUGCGUUUGAAGAGCGCAACUCAAAAUCCUUAGACAUUUCAAUUCUUUCAAAUUUUUCAUUGGGAUUUAAAAAUAAUAUUACAACUUACAAUUGAAAAAUUACAGAUAUUUUAUAAGUAUCAUCUCAGAUUAAUAGACAAUUCAAUCAUUACAAUUGCAAAUUCAAUGAAUUAAUGCUAAUACUGAUUCUUUCAAAUAAUUUUGUUAAUACAUGCAAUAAUUGAACAUCGAUUUCUGAUAUUUUAGCUUUGGCAAAUGUUAAUGAUAUGAUAAUUGUUUUACCAAUGAAAAAUUUACUCUUUCUGGGUGUGGGUUAAUAAAAUAUGAGCAUUUAUUAUUGUCUUUCAUUCAAACACAAGUAUUUAAUUUAAUUAUUUAUUUUCAAAUACAACUUAGUACAAUAAAUACAUCGACGUCACAAUCGAGUAUUCAGUAUUGUGGCAUACAAAAGCGCUCCUUUAAUAGGUACUGUUCCUACACUUGUCCAGUCUAUUUCCAGGCAAAAAUGUGUCCGCGACUGGCAAAAAGUCUUGUUACUAUGUUAUGUUAAAGCUCGAGUUUCCUAUGAUUUUCCAUAUAAAAUUUAUGGAAUAUAAAGACAGCCGCUAUAUGACGGCACUGCUAACAUAGGAAACUCGAGCUUACGCAACAGGCUGACGUUUUUGUCGGCCGCAGACACACAUAUAAUAUCUUAAAAGCUAAAUUAAAGGGUUUGGAAUGCGUUACAUCGUACAAGCAUGUGAUUUAUUUUAGACACGAGAGGAAACUGAUUUAACCCUUAAUGCGCCAGUAUCAAAACACGCGAAACAACUUGAACCAAGUCGGCAUACAACGUAGGUUUUCACAGUGCGCGGCAAACUUUUAGACCAUUAGCACAUCUCUGACACUUGCGAUCAAAUAUAUAAAAGAGGCGCGUUCCUAGCACACAUUCUAAGCUUGUGUACGUGAACGCGUACCAUGCUUCAGUGAGAUAUGACAGGUCGACUGUUCGCGUUUUUGACAGGCGGUAACUGUGAGGUAACCGAGAGGGGGUGGGCAGCGCUUACAGCGAGGAGCGGGAGUGGCCAUACUGUACGAUAGUACUCUUCACUAUAGUGCGCCAUUAGGCGCGGUGGUAGGGACAAGUUCGCGCAUCGUAAACAUAGGAGCAAAAAUCCUACCUAAUAAGAAAAAUCGCGUCUGCGCAGGUCAGGCUACAUGGUCCAAAAGUUUGCCGCGCACUAUAUUUAAUCGAGCUGUGGACGCGCGAGUCAUUUUACGUGUUUGGCGGUCAAAGGAUUAAUAUAUCGAGGGUUUACUGGUGAAACCCGAUAAAUCGAGAUAAUUUGUCCUUGAAAUAAUAACAACAUUGUGGAAUUUGCACAUAGUUCGAAUUUCAAAAACCAGUUUGCUUAACUUAUGGGGUUUCACCAGUAAACCCUCGAUAUCUGUAUAUUUAUGUGUGUUUAUUAGUGGAAGAUCCUUAUGCUUCAUGUUCAUAAGAAAUUUUGUAUCCGAAAAAAGUCCUUAUGCAAAUGAAACAUAAAAAAAACUUUCCAUAGAUAAGAUAGAGAACCACAUGUUUAUGAAGUUAUAAAUACACGUGGCUUCUAGUAGAUAGUAGUAAGUACCUAUUUAGCCAAUCAGGCGAAACAAGUUAUUUUCGAUAUUAAGACUAAAAUACACAGUCACUAACAACAAACAGACAUUUUUAUUAUGGGUUAAAAGUAUUAUGUACCUAUCUACUUUAUAAUAUAGGUAUAAUAAAGAUGCUAAGCUCAAAGAAUUACGUGGAUUGAUCCGGGUGUUUCUAUCUCAAUCGCACACGUAUAAUUUAUAUAGCUAUCCCGCUCGUAUCGUGUCACUGACCGCAAGCAUUAUGAGCAGGACCACUGUCCUGUCCUGCUGCAAUUAUAUCACUACAUAAUUACACGCAUGGGUAGAUAGGCACGAUUGCAUCCCCACGAGUUUGACAAUACGACAUAUCCGCUGUAAUCCACAUAACUUCAUUCCUAUACCAACAUUUCACUGAGAGAGUUUUGAAUGAUUCAAGGUUAUUUUCAUUAGACAUAUUGACCGGGAUUUAUACCAUGGUUACCUUUUCGAUUUUUGUUGAAACGCAACUGGCGCACGCUGUCUACACAAUUUUGACAUCCACCCGCCUUCUUCAGUUUUCCGUGAUCAUGAUGCACGUUACUGCGUCGAAAUAUCGCGAGCUCGACAAACAUCAAAAAGGUAAUGUAAUUAAGUCUAAUUUCACUCAAAGUAACUUGCCAGUAUGGGGGACAUGCAUAGAGAAUUAGAGAUGAAAUGACACAGAUAAUGGCAAAUCGUGCUGUGGUUAAUAGUGGAGCAAUAUUCGCAAUUCAUCGGGCUUAGCAACCUUACUUUAAAGUUAUAACAAGAAUCUAAAGGCACAUUCACACAGGGAUGACUGGCGUAUGAGGCUGUCAUAUGAGUGUAAAUAUGCCAUAACAGUACGUCCAAGAUUAAAAUCGAUAGAGUAAAUUCAUCAAAACAUUAAUAUUGGAAUAGCAUAGGAUUUCAAAUUGAUUAUAUAUCCAAGAACAAUUUUUAUAGAAUAUUGGCAAGCAGGGGUUUGUUAACAAAAAUAUUAACAAGAUUUUGAUUAUGUAUGUGUACAUUGUGUAUAAAUCUUGGCAAGUGAGUUAUUUAACUAGUUAUAUACAAGAUUAAUGUAAAUAGGAUUAUAAAUAAAAAUAUAUAAAAAAAUAAACCUCACUUAAAUGUAAAUUGAGAUUCGAUUAACUAAAUGUGCCACACGUUGUAUAUUUAGACAGAAAUGCUUUAGGAAUGAUUGAUUUUAUGAAUGAUUUAGUUUUUUAUUCAUUAUAAAAGGAAUGAUCAUGAUCAUAUCAAACGAAUUAGAUAACAACAAACAUACCCACAAACUAAUUUGGGAAUAAGUUUCAAAAUAGGUAAUUUAUGUGACCGUUACAUAAUGGAAGGCAUUAAAACAAGAGUGUAAGUUUAUAAAACGAACGAAGUCAGUUUCAAUAUAAGAUCACACGAGUGUUAUAUACACCGUGGGCCUGAAUAACCCGAAAGAUUUUAACCACGCAAUUUCGAUGUAAAAUAACAAGCAAAAAAACUGACUCGUAAUUUUUUAGAGAAAAAAAAAUACAUUUUUAUGGGCUUUUGAUAAGUCAUAUAUAACUAAAAAAGUUCUGGAUUUUUUUCUUUCAUAUUUUUUUGAGUAAGAGGAUUUUGCUAAGUUUUUCUUUUUUUACUAAUAUCUGUCAAUUUGUAUGAAAAGCCUAGAAUACAUUGUGGUGUAAACUUCAGUCAAAAAUGCGUUUUUGCCCGAGUUAUGACGAAAAACAUUUUUUGAGAAAGAUGAAAUUAUCUCUGAAUCUAAGCCAAAUCCAGAUAUUUCACAUUAUAGUCUCUAAAUAUGGUCUCUAAGUAUGAUACUGUUAAAAUUGUUCGGGUUAUUCAGGCCCACGGUGUAUAACGCAUAAUUAUGUAAUGUUACAUACAGUAGUAAUACUAAGUAUUUUUUCUGGUUGCCAAAUUAUAUAAUUUGGUUGUCCAUGCACAAAAUA